AUUGAACGCUGGCGGCAGGCCUAACACAUGCAAGUCGGGCGAGUGGCGGACGGGUGAGUAAUGUAUGGGGAACUGCCUGAUGGAGGGGGAUAACUACUGGAAACGGUAGCUAAUACCGCAUACCAUCGGAUGUACCCAUAUGGGAUUAGCUGGUAGGUGGGGUAACGGCUCACCUAGGCGACGCUCCCUAGCUGGUCUGAGAGGAUGAUCAGCCACACUGGGACUUAGUCACGGCCCAGACUCCUACGGGAGGCAGCAGUGGGGAAUAUUGCACAAUGGGCGCAAGCCUGAUGCAGCCAUGCCGCGUGUAUGAAGAAGGCCUUCGGGUUGUAAAGUACUUUCAGUCGGGAGGCGUUACCGACAGAAGAAGCACCGGCUAACUCCGUGCCAGCAGCCGCGGUAAUAC
rnacentral:rRNA from 1 species